AAAAGAAGAGGCUGUCAAGAAAGCCAAGAAGACUGCCUGCUGCUGCUGCAUGCAAACCACUAAAUUGGAGGAAGAGAGCGGGCAGGCAAGUCAUUCUUGGCUUUCAACUCAGGCUCUGCUCU
rfam:Gossypium arboreum cultivar AKA8401 contig_13896_3, whole genome shotgun sequence.